rnacentral:misc_RNA from 1 species
AGCAGCCGCGGUAAUUCCAGCUCCAAUAGCGUAUAUUAAAGUUGUUGCAGUUAAAAAGCUCGUAGUUGAAUUUCGGGGUUAGCAGGUCGGUCGUGCCAUUGGUAUGAACUGGUCUCGCUGAUCCCUCCCUCUUGACGAACUGUGAUGCCAUUAAUUUGGUGUCGCAGGGAAUCAGGACUGUUACUUUGAAAAAUUAGAGUGUUUAAAGCAGGCUCACGCUUGAAUACAUUAGCAUGGAAUAAUGAAAUAGGACGUUUGAUCCUAUUUUGUUGGCUUCUAGGAUUGACGUAAUGAUUAAUAGGGAUAGUUGGGGGCAUUAGUAUUCAAUUGUCAGAGGUGAAAUUCUUGGAUUUAUUGAAGACUAACUACUGCGAAAGCAUUUGCCAAGGAUGUUUUCAUUAAUCAAGAACGAAAGUUAGGGGAUCGAAGACGAUCAGAUACCGUCGUAGUCUUAACCAUAAACUAUGCCGACUAGGGAUCGGAUGAUGUUAAUUUUUUAAUGUACUCAUUCC